rnacentral:tRNA from 1 species
GGUGCGGUGGCUAAAUGGUAAAGCACUUGACUUUCAAAUCAAGGAUCCAGGGUUUGAAUCCUGGUUAUUUUU